rnacentral:lncRNA from 1 species
GUGAAUGGACAGCUGGGAGCUCAAUAAAAUGAGUUGCUGGCUGGAAGGGGAGGGCAUAAAGCUGGGUUGAAAUAGGAUGGUUAGAGGUAAGCCUGAUAUAAGAGUGGGUUGAAGGGCAGACAGAACUAAUCUUCUGAAUAUUACUUUUUUUAUAUAAAGCUUUCUCUAGUGUGUGGCUUUAUGGCUUUAUGAGUCGUGGAGUGUCUUUUGACCAGCAUCAGACACCCAGGUGGCAGCCUCAAAUAGCACUGCCUGUGUCCUGCUGGAAAAGCCAGAUGUUGGCCUGUUGCUUUUUUUGCAUGAAUUUUAUAAAAUUGCAGAAAAUUCUGGGGAAAUGGAACUUUGAUUAGUCAUAUUUUUCUGCCCAUGGGGAGAAUGUGAUUUUAGAAGAGAUGAAAGAUAUGAAAUACUUGAUUAUAUGUUGUUAUUUUUCAUGAUAUAUUGAUGAUUAUAUGCAAUAAUAAAUUAAAAAGUAAUAAGGAAUCAAUUCUUUAUUUCCAUGAAGAGGGAUCUUAGCUGUGAUUCCAUAAAGGUGGGCGGGUGUUUUUAGGGAGGAUGGUUGAGGUGGAUGGUAGCCUCUGCUCUUAGUUGUCUUCUUGCCUGUUGCUCAUAUUCCCUUUACUUUUAUUUUUGUUUAUUUAUUUAAUUUAUAAUUGAUAUAUUAUGGUCGUACAUAUUUUUGGGGUAAGUGUAAUAAUUUAUACACGUACACAAUGUGUAUUGAUUAAGUCAAGGCAAUUGGGAUAUCCCUUUCAGAUUUACUCCAGGGAAGAUCACCUGUGCACAUCUAAUUGAGACAGGUGACCUGGAUGGCUUUGAAGUUCACCUUAGCCUGACUAAACUUUAGCCUUCUUUCUGACGGCAGCCCCAGAUCUCUCUUUUCUUAGAGCAUUCAUUCAUUUUAGAAAACUUGCAAAUUGUAACUAUUUCUGUGCUCCUUUGAAAUGAAAAUCUUUAAAAAAGCCUCUUGCCAGUUUUGCAAUCUAGAAUUGUUUUUCUCAGGGAGCUGAGGGUCUUCCCCCUCCUUUUUUUUUUUUUUUUGAGACCGAAUCUCGCUCUGUCGCCCAGGCUGGAGUGCAGUGAUGCGAUGUCGGUUCACACCAUCCUCCUGCCUCAGCCUCCCGAGUAGCUGGGACUACAGGCGCCCACCACCAUGCCCGGCUAAUUUUUUAUAUUUUCAGUAGAGACGGGGUUUCACUGUGUUAGCCAGGAUGGUCUCCACCUCCUGACCUCGUGAUCCGCCCACCUCGGCCUCCCAAAGUGCUGGGAUUACAGGCGUGAACCACCGCGCCCGGCCAUGGUGGUGGUGGGGGGUGGGGUGUCGGGGGGUGGUCCUCCUUUCGAAAUGCAAUCAUCAAGAAAGAGCCCCCAUCUUUCUGGCUCUGUGUGGGGAUAGGAGCCUAACUUAGAUAAGCAAAAAUUAGCAAACACAGAUGGCCUAAUUGCAUUGACCAAUUCCCCACAAAUGCCUCCUGUACUUUUUCCACUCUCUCACCUCAGCAUUUAAAAGCUCUUCCAACUUUGGUUUCUGCAGAAUUGAGUUCAAUCUCUUUCCCUUAUUGCCAUAACCUUGGCCCCAAACGCAAUAGGUGUGGAAUAAAUCUUCCUUACCUGUUUAACUUGUCCACUGCAACUUUUCUUUGACAUACGGUUUGCCUAGAAUCACACUAAAAGAUGGCCACAUAAAUCUAUAGCCAAAAGAGUUUCAGUAUAAGGUGAAAUUGGCCAUAGUAGCACGUGUUCGUGCUAGGUGACUGGAGAUUUUAAAAACCUAGGUAAUCAACGUAGUGUCUCUCUUCGAGUUCUAUGUGCACAAGGUGAGUCUUUGAGGGAUGUUCCACUGGGCCAAAGUCUAGGCCAAAAGAUCUUUUAAAAGGUGUAAAAAUGAGAACUAUUGAGGGCAGAAUGAUUAGCUGUGUGAACUGAAAGUAAAUAUAGAAUACUGGGAUGGGACUGAAGGAUGGAGAUAAUUAUUCUUCUGCACGUUCAAGGAGUUAAGUUGCUGUGAUUUUUUUUCCAGAGGUAAGAUGGAAAAUUAAGUCAUAUAUGCAACAAAUCUCUUUUUAUGAUGCAUCUCAGGACAGAACAUUCUUCAUGGAUAGAAUUCUGUUCUACAUGGAAGUGGGCAGAUAAAUGGGGCAAACUGUGGUGGAAUGGCAAAGGAGGUAUUCAGUAUCCUGUUAAUUGUAAUCCGAUCUCCCCUGGAGAGAAAAUGAAGCUGCUCACCUUCAUGAUUUUGUCUGAAAUCUGGAUGAUCUUUUGCCUGGAUAAUGGUCAACACUCAAUUUGGCUUUGAAGAGUCAGGCCCACAAUCUCAAUUGUGAUAUAGAGGAGAGCCCACAUUUCUACUCAGAUUUUUGCUACAAAAAUAGAAUUCGUAUCUAAAAUAAUAAAGAAUUAAUUGAUAUCUCAUAUAAGUUGAAUCAUGCAAUAUCUGUCCUUCUGUGACUGGCUUAUUUUACUUAGCAUAACUCCCUCUAGGUUCAUCUAUUUCACCUAUAUGAUGUAUCUAAGAUACUUAAACGCAUAGAAGCUGAAAAUAGGAUGAUGGUUGCUAGAGGUUGUCAGGAGGGGAAGAAUGGGGAAUUGUUGCUUAACAGGUAUAAAAUUUCAAUUAUGAAAGAUGAAUAAGUUCUAGAAAUCUUCUGUACAACACAGUGACUAUAGGUAACAAUAUGGUAUUAGACACAGUAAUUUGUUAAGAGGAUAAAUCUCAAGUUGACUGUUCUUAUCACAAAAAAAACAACAUAAAAGACAAUGACAAAAACAAAACAUAAAAGAAUACAAGGGCAUUUUGGGAGGUGAUAGAUAUGUUUAAUAACUUGAUUUCAGUGAUGGUAUCUCUGGCUGCAUGAAUUGGUCCAAACUGAUCAAACUUGCAGUAUGGUUUUUCUGUAUAUUAAUUAUACCUCAAUAAAGCUGUUAAAAAUUAAUUCAUGCUGAUAUAAACUUUAAAAAAUUUGAGAUGCAAUUAAAAUACAAGAUUUAAAGAAAUGUGAACACUGGUUGAAAAUUGGUGAGAAAACAUCUAAUUCUGCCAGUCAUCUCUGUUUCUCAUUUAUGUCAUGCUACUUCUAUCUAGAUCAGAGCAAACUCAUUCUGAAACUGUCUUGAUUUUAGCUUCUGUCUUUCCAGGACCCAUCGCCAGGAGCUGCUUUCCACUUAUAGACACAAGUGGCUCACUCACUCUUCUAGGUGUUAGCUAGCAGGGGCAGAGCUUUCUCAGGUAUUUUAGCAUUCGUUGUGUUGGAAGGUCUCUGCUAUGUUCCUGAAAAUUCAUUUUAUCCCCUUUUUCCUUUGCUACAUAGAAAGAGGAAGAAACCGUUAUGUAGAUUGUUCUGUGUGAAUCCUCUUAUGAUUUUUAUCACCAUAAAACCUUUAUGAUUUUAUCACCAGCUUCCCUGCAGUUUCAUUUCACUUUUUUUUUUUACCUUAUUAGUGUGUUAUUGUUAAUUUAAAAAUAAAGAGAUGACUCACUCAUUAAACACUGCUCUGCUGGUUUAAUGUUCCCCUAGCAAUGGUCCUAAAAGGUUUCCAGAUCAUUUACAAACCUACAUCUGAUUCAAUCUGAUUUUAGUUACAGUCUGAGCUUAUUAUUACAUACAUUUUAAAGCAUAUUUAAACAUAGCAUCAUUUGUAGUUUAAAAACAGAGAUGUAAAAUAACUUUGAAAAGAGGAAACUGAAGCUUUGUAAUCAUGUAGAUACACUACCUGAAUGGCUUACUGAUAAUUUCACUUUUUAAGUACAUUUUACUAAAAUUAGUCCGGAUGUUUUUGUUUGGUUUGUAAGGUGUAUAACUAAGUGUCAGUUCCUUAAGGGAGUUCAGUCCUCAUGGAGUUUAUAAUCAAGUAAGAGAGUCAGGUGAAAUGAUGAAAUGAAAACACUCAUCAAAUAUAAAUGACGUUCUUUAAAUGCACCUCUGUUAGACUGACUCACUGAAAUCAAACCUUGCCAUUCCCUAGGGAACAUUUUCUAAUUUAUGGCCAGGACAUGCUGAAUGCUCACAGCUAGUAGAUUAUUUUUUACUAAGUCUGCAGUGAGGCACCUGCUUGCCAAGAAUUAGUUGUUGGUUCCCAAACCUAUUUAUGACAGUUGUAUUUAUUUUGGUAAUAAUAUAUUACAAGCAAAUAUUAUAGAAACUAACGACAUUGUGAAUAAAAGAGUGUCUUAUUUCUAUGAAGACUAAGUUGAAGUCUUUGGAAAGGUUAUAAUAAAGGUAAUAAAAAUAAUCAAAUUAUGUGUGGGCAAGAUGACUACAAAAGAUUAGAGAAAAUCUUAAAUUUUCAAAAGGUUAUAUACUCUGAUUAUUGUAAGAAUCUUUAGAUUUCCAUUGUAUUUAAAUAAAAUACUAAAGCCUAAGGAUUACUGCAAAUAAGAUGUCUUAAGACUUCAACCAGCAGAUUCAUUCUUUAAUUAAAAAAAGCCUUUGUUAUAUAUAAGUACAUUGGCAAAUGUAUACAUUUUUAGAUAAAAUAAAAAAAUUAAAACCUAUAUGUUUUUGACUUAUCCUUUUAACAAACUUUUAAAAUUAACUUACUAUUAGCUUUGCCCAUGUAUGCUAAGAGGACUUUUACAAUGACAAGUAAGAAGAAUACAUUGAUGAUACCUGUUUUGGUCCAGACAUUUCCAGAGCCAUGGAAUAGCAUGAAAAAAAAAAAAUCUUCGAAAUAUAAUUUAUUCCUUCGAAUUGGAGUCAAACUUAGAAGCAUCCAUCAAUGGAUGAAAGGAUAAAGAAAAUAUGGCAUAUAUAGACAAUGUAAUACUAUUCAGUCUUAAAAAAGAAGAAAAUUCUGGCGUUUGUGACAACAUGGAUGAACAUGAAG